rnacentral:rRNA from 1 species
UACCAGCUCUUCGAGUGGUGUGGAUGUUUAUUGGGCCUAAAGCAUCCGUAGCUGGCUGGGCAAGUCCCCUGUUAAAUCCACCGAUUUAAUCGUUGGAGUGCGGGGGAUACUGUUCGGCUAGGGGACGGGAGAGGCAGACGGUUAUUUUCGGGGUAGGGGUGAAAUCCUAUAAUCCCGGUAAGACCACCAGUGGCGAAGGCUGUCUGCUAGAACGCGCCCGACGGUGAGGGAUGAAAGCUGGGGGAGCGAACCGGAUUAGAUACCCGGGUAGUCCCAGCUGUAAACGAUGCAGGCUAGGUGUUUGGGCGGCCACGUGCCGCUCUAGUGCCGCAGGGAAGCCGUUAAGCCUGCCGCCUGGGGAGUACAGCCGCAAGGCUGAAACUUAAAGGAAUUGGCGGGGGAGCACCACAAGGGGUGAAGCUUGCGGUUU